AACGAACGCUGGCGGCAUGCCUAACACAUGCAAGUCGAACGAGACCUUCUGGUCUUUUUGCGAACUGGUUCGUCACCGGAGGGGACAUUCCCUUGUGGGCGGUAUGACUUUCCGCAAGGGGCGCUAUUUCCGGACGAUGUCUACGGCCCAAUGAUUUAUCGACUUAGGAUGGUCCCGCGUUGAAUUAGCUAUUUGGUAGCGUAAAGGCCCACCAAGGCGACGUUACAUAGCUGGUCUGAGAGGAUGACCAGCCACACUGGGAGUGGGACACGGCCCAGACUCCUACGGAAGGCAGAAGUGGGGAAUAUGGGACACUGGGCGAGAGACGGAUCCAGCAAUGCCGCGAGAGUGAUGAAGGACUGAGGGUUGUAAAGCUCUUUGGCACGCGAAGAUAAUGACAGUACCGGGAGAAUAAGCUCCGGCUAACUCCGUG
rnacentral:rRNA from 1 species